CUCAUCUUGUGUUUUAGUCAAAUCCUGUCUCUACACCUCGCUGCCUUGUAGAAAAUGAACGCUUCAGCUGUGCGGGCAGCGAGACUGUGUCGGCUCUUUUCCACAUCCAUCCUCUGAACACAGGAAUGAAGUGAUCUCACUGGGCCUUUGCACGAGCCCAGGAGAGAAGUACUGCUGGUCGUCCUCACUCUGAAGCGGUGGUAAAGCAGAGGCUCACCGAGGUCAGCAUCCCGCUCAGGGACAGCGUAGC
rnacentral:lncRNA from 1 species